CCCCGCGCGAGCUGGUCCCCCGGUGCCCAUCCUCUGCCUCCACGGCUCGAUGCGCCAUCUGGCUGUGGACGCGGACGAUGUCGCACAAGGGGAGGAGUAGACGUCCACCACGAUGGCCAAAGCUCGACCGCCUCUUCUACCGCUACGGCAGGGUCAUCAUGAAGUCAGGGUGACGUGCUGUUUCUGAAUGAUGGAGAUGAGCACCUGCACCUUCAUUUGAUGGAGUGGCAAGGAGUGUGCCGAAGCGUGCCAGCAAAGUGUUGUGGUGAUUGUCAUUUCCCAGCCUUGCGCGACUAUCCUCGGUCUGACCAGAGGAUAUGCAGCGCGGCUCGCCUCAGGCACCUGCACCUGCAACUGAUGGAGGGCGAAGGAGUUAUGCGCCGAAGCCUGUGAGCGAAGUUUUGGUUGUUCGGCUUGGCUGAGUCCUCUCAGGCCUUUGGAUGCCCCUGACGGUGAUUGGACAUGCGGUGCGCCUUGCCUCGCCUCGCCUCGGGUUGAUUCGGAGUUUGGUCUCUCGUUUGCUGAUCGGGGGACAUCGAUCACGUUCCGUCUUGGCCUGCUGCCGCUGAAGUGUAGUAUAUAUUCAGUUUGGAGCAAGCAGUGUUGUAAGACAGUGGCCUGCUCUGGUGGCGCUGCGCUGCCGGCGCCUUGAUUUCGGUCCUUGGUUUGCUGCGGACGGACGGUGCUGUCUUGUGUGUGUAAUUUGCCCAAUGGAUGCGAUUUGAGCUGCUGUGACAUAUUAGUACCUCCGUUUCGAAAUGUAAUCCUAUUUUAUUUUAAAGCUAAGUUAUAGCUAUCUAUAAAGGCUUAUACCGCGGAACGGAGGUAGUAUGUGCUUGUACUGUUGAUCAGUGACUUGAAUGUUUGAACAAGC